GAUAAUGAAGGUGACAAUUUCUCACAUCCUCACAAAUCAGAUUAGCGGAACGCCUCACGUUGGCGUCUGAUGUCUGACCUGUUUACUCCGUAACCCUUCACGCCUGGCAAGUUUGCUCUGGAACCUUUUAAUCUCUCCGGAUUGACAGUUCGCUUGAGGGAAGGGGUGAGAUUUACCAAAGCUGGCAUAAUGGUUUAAUCUGGUGUAUCAGUGCACUCCUCAAGUCCACUUGAGGAGUGCAACAUUAGUUAAGAACUCCAUGUAGGAGAGGAGGAGGUGAAAGGCUCCUGGAUGACUCUAAAGAUGUUAACUUUUCCACUUUUUGUUUUUAAUGUGAAUGUAGACAAGCUGUGAGUGUGAACUUCCUUAACUAGCGACAGUUGAAGAAAACCAACAACAAAUCCUCAAAGAGUUGGACAUCCUGCUAAAGAUAAGAGGAGUGGUUUCCUGGUUUCGAGUGAAGUUACAUCCCAGGUGGAAAAUAAAGAUGAGGCAAUCUUUGACUCCCUGAUUCAGUCAAGUGCUUUUGGCAGUGUAUAGUAAAUGUGAAGGUUUGUGCUACAGCAUUACAAGACACAAAUGUUUGUAAGGUCUCCUGCUUAAUACCAAAUAACACCAGUGAAAAUAGCAAUAGUGGUCAAACAAUUGCUACACUAGUAGUUAUAAAAUACACCAGCACUACAGCUUUAAAUAUGCUUGAUAUUUUUAUUUACAUUUGAAAAAACACAAGUAAUAUAAUGAUUCAUUUGCUUUAUGUGUAUUUUUUUUUUGCUUUUUCAUUUGCCAGAGAAAGCUAUAUUUACUAAAAAAGAAAGAAAAAAGGAAACAAUAAAUAUUUACU